rnacentral:misc_RNA from 1 species
UGUGGGAGCGAGCUUGCUCGCGAUGGCGGUGAGUCAGCUUGCAUAAAUGUUGAAUAUCAAGCUGCUAUCGCGAGCAAGCUCGCUCCCACA